UACGGAGGGUGCAAGCGUUGUCCGGAAUCACUGGGCGUAAAGGGCGCGUAGGCGGCUCAUGAAGGCUGUGGUGAAAGUCCGGGGCUCAACCUCGGAUCGGCCGUGGCGACUCGUGGGCUGGAGCACUGUAGAGGCGGGUGGAAUUCCGGGUGUAGCGGUGGAAUGCGUAGAGAUCCGGAAGAACACCAGUGGCGAAGGCGGCCCGCUGGGCAGUGGCUGACGCUGAGGCGCGACAGCGUGGGGAGCAAACAGGAUUA
rnacentral:rRNA from 1 species